rnacentral:rRNA from 1 species
UACGGAGGGGGCUAGCGUUGUUCGGAAUUACUGGGCGUAAAGCGCACGUAGGCGGCUUUGCAAGUUAGAGGUGAAAGCCCGGGGCUCAACUCCGGAAUUGCCUUUAAAACUGCAUCGCUAGAAUUGUGGAGAGGUAAGUGGAAUUCCGAGUGUAGAGGUGAAAUUCGUAGAUAUUCGGAAGAACACCAGUGGCGAAGGCGACUUACUGGACACAUAUUGACGCUGAGGAGCGAAAGCGUGGGGAGCGAACAGG